rnacentral:rRNA from 1 species
GAUGAACGCUGGCGGCGUGCCUAAUACAUGCAAGUCGAGCGAACAGAUGAGGAGCUUGCUCCUCUGACGUUAGCGGCGGACGGGUGAGUAACACGUGGAUAACCUACCUAUAAGACUGGGAUAACUUCGGGAAACCGGAGCUAAUACCGGAUAAUAUAUUGAACCGCAUGGUUCAAUAGUGAAAGACGGUUUUGCUGUCACUUAUAGAUGGAUCCGCGCCGCAUUAGCUAGUUGUAAGGUAACGGCUUACCAAGGCAACGAUGCGUAGCCGACCUGAGAGGGUGAUCGGCCACACUGGAACUGAGACACGGUCCAGACUCCUACGGGAGGCAGCAGUAGGGAAUCUUCCGCAAUGGGCGAAAGCCUGACGGAGCAACGCCGCGUGAGUGAUGAAGGUCUUCGGAUCGUAAAACUCUGUUAUUAGGGAAGAACAAAUGUGUAAGUAACUAUGCACGUCUUGACGGUACCUAAUCAGAAAGCCACGGCUAACUACGUG